UUCAGAUGGUAUAUGAAACAGAUAGUUCCUGUUUCAAGUGUCUCUCUUCCUUUGAAAAGCAGUUGAAGAUUAGUAGCCAGCAGUAAGCAGAAAUAAAACUAUUGUGUUGAUAUCAAUUAGCUAAUGUGGAGUGAAAAGUCUUAGCAGGAGGGAGCAGAUGGUAAUGAUCUGGGAAAAGUCACUCUUGGAUCUGCCUGAGAGACCGAGUUUAUCAAGGAAGAGAGGCUCUGGCAAUUUUCAUGUUUCAGCUGUGUUGCAUCCUGUGAGCAGAAAAAAAAGUCUCCCUGACCUCAUCUGUGAGGAUGCUGUAGGUGAUGCUCCAGACUCAAUCUGAAGACUCGGUUCUGGGGAGUUUUACAGAGUUCAAGAACUUACACUGAAUUCCUCCCAGAUAAAUUUCUUCCCUUGUGUUCCAUUUAACUAAGGUGUGCAUCCCUUUGCUUCCCUAGGAGGUGCCAGUCAGCUAGAAACACCCUGUUUUGGGCACUUCAGUAACUGAUGACUCUUAACAGUUUCCAUAUUUCAUUUGAUGUCAGUAGGAGGGAACUAAAGCUUUGCCAUAGAAAUAGCCACUAUAGGAUCCGGCUUUUCCAGGAUACUCUUCAUUUGGUCACUCAGGUCCUGCACUGAGAGAACACUUGACAGCGGCUGGAGGAAGCAGUUACAAUCUGCUUGGAAGGAGGCCUAGAAGAUGCAUCAAUCUAUACAGAAACACUGCAGGAAAACGAGAGGAGAAACAACGACGUUAAGUUACAGCCUGUAUUUCCAUUGACAGUUCAAAAUCUAAACAAUUUUACUUUAUGGUCUUUCUUUUAUCUGAAAGUAAACAUUGCAUGUGAUUUUCCUUCACCAUAAUAUCCCAUUUUGGUUGCCUUUCAAUCCCUAAGGAUAUUUCAUGCUGCUGAGCGGUGGUGUUGGGGUUCUCAGAACAGCUACGGCCAUGACAUUAUGCUGAGACUCAUGGUGCUAUUGUGCAGCAGCCACCAAAGCAACCUUGGGGGACCACUGAAUCUUCUUACCAACAAACCACACAGCUGUCUGCGGGUACAGCACAAAGUUGUCCUCAGAGAUCACCGUUAGGAAGAGACACUAUAAAAGCAACUGGUUCCUUUUUCUCCCAUUGCAGGAUCAGGUUACUUUUGAGGCAUUCAGAGUUAAAUUCUGUUUGGCAGGUAAUUUAAAAUCCCAGGCCUUUCAAUGCAGCAGCUCCCUGCAAUGUAGGAAGGCAGGACACUGUCCUCUUUAAUGGAUGUCUUUUCCUAAUAAGAAAACUUAGUCUAUUCAAACUUUGGAAACUUUUUUCUACCUUAGCUUGUUUCAGAGUGGUUUCAAAAUUAAGAACAGUUAGGUUACUGUUAAAGAAAAAGGGUCAUAUUCUGUUCCCACACUCACUGAAGUAAAUCAAGAAUAAUUCAAUUAAAUGUAAAGGACUUAUUUCAGAUUUACACUGGUAUAAAUGAGAAAAGAAUUUGACCGAGAGGUCUCUAAUGAAAAGAGAAAAUGAAAAACCACUGGAAAAAUAGUAAGAAAAAUUAUUAGAAACAGUCUCAAAUGGCAGCAUGUAAGGAUGAGCUCAGUUUUAAUCUAUUAAGUUCCUCCCUAAUUUCAUUUUAAGAUGUACCCAUGAUUAGUUGCUAAAUCUACCAUUUUGAGCUACUCACAAUGCCAUACAAGAUAAACAGCAGCUGUUGUUCCAGAGAUAAACCAACAGAUUCAAAGGUUAUCUCCAAAUACUACAGUUACAGCUUUUGGUGGUUUCUCUUCAUGCCUGAGAUGAGAUUUUCCAUUCCUAGUGACAGUCUGUUUAAUUUCAACUUCUUUGUGUGCAUGUGGGUAAUGUAAGUGGUUGCCAGUCUUAAAAGAGAGCACUGACAAGCUAUCAAUUCAUUGACAUUAUGUAUGGACCCCACAAAAGCGGUAGAUAUGACAGUUUUAAUCGAUAAAAACAAAAGCCACUUCAUUGAUGUUGUGAGAUACAAAGCUCCUUGUGUUACUGAAGCAGCUCAGGAAAGGCCUAAUGCAUUCUUCCCCUUUAUUCUCUGUGAAGGAGAUUAAUCAGAAGAUACAAAAACCCUACCCCCCAAAAAAAUCCUAAAUGCCAAACCCAAAUAAAACAAAACAGGGAGAAAGCAAGCUGGGUAUUUUAAAUAAUUCCUUAGUUUUGUUAUCCAAUUUAACAUGAAAAAAAUCUGUUUUUUCCUCUAGAAUUAGAACUCUUAAAGGAAAUCCUCUGAGCUGUGGCAAAGGAGUUGUAACCCCUGCUUCCUUUCAGUGUGUUACAAAAUGGGAAAACAGGACUAGGAUUUUUUAAUGGGACCAAAGCUUCCUUGGGUUCAUUAUUUUAAGCAAAUAAGUUGAGGGAAAACAGCUUGUGACCAUACAGGACCAGGAUGCAGAAGAUACAUGUCAGGAUGUAGAAGAAUAAUUUAUGAUACACAUCAAACAAAAAAGUUAGUUCCUAUUGAAGAUCAGUGAAAUAAAAUGAAAGAAACCAGCCGAUGGAUAAUCCAUCGAAAGUGAGAUCUACCUUUCAUAUUUCUUACAUUAUGCCUGCCUACACCGUUGUUGCUGGCUGUGCAGUUUAAUUGACUUCCUACAGUAAUACUAGAGUAUUGCUAGAGGCUAGAGUAAGUGCCUUUGUGUGAGUCACAGAAUCACAGAAUGGUCAGGGUUGGAAGGGACCUCUCGAGAUCAUCUAGUCCAACACCUGCUGAAACAGGUUCACUUAAAGCAGGUUGCACAGGAUCAUGUCCAGGCAGGUUUUGAAUAUCUCCAGGAAAGGAGACUCCACAGCCUCUCUGGGCGCCUGUCCCAGUGCUCUGUCACCCUCAAAGUUUUUCCUCAUAUUCAGAUGGACUCUUGCAGUGGAAAUCUUGCAGUAGAGGCAGAAUGGAUACAGUUUGUCUCACUUCUGAGAAAAAAAAAAAAAAGAGGAGAGGAUUCUAUGUAUGAAUACUAAAAGGUGGCGACUGGAGUAUCCUCUCACUGUCACAUAGAAAGGUCUCCAAGUGUGUUCUUCUUUUGACAUCUUUCAACAUGAAGGAAUUUUGAGCCUUAUAAGGCAUCUUUUAUCUAUAAAAAAUGAUAUGAAGACAAAUGCAUGAAGACAAGUUUCUGUCAGUAAGGGACAGAAGGAACUUGGCAACAUGUAUUACAUAUUUGAUAUUAUUACAUCCUACCCUCUA